CGAACGGGUGAGUAACGCGUGAGGAACCUGCCUCAAAGAGGGGGACAACAGUUGGAAACGACUGCUAAUACCGCAUAAGCCCACAGGUCGGCAUCGACCGGAGGGAAAAGGAGCAAUCCGCUUUGAGAUGGCCUCGCGUCCGAUUAGCUAGUUGGUGAGGUAAUGGCCCACCAAGGCAACGAUCGGUAGCCGGACUGAGAGGUUGAACGGCCACAUUGGGACUGAGACACGGCCCAG
rnacentral:rRNA from 1 species